rnacentral:tRNA from 1 species
GUGUUUGUAGCUCAGAUGGUAGAGCCGCGGGUUGUGAUCCCGCUUGUCGCAGGUUCGAGUCCUGUCGGACACCCCA